GUCCACGCUGUAAACGAUGAUUACUCGAUGUUGGCGAUAAACUGUCAGCGUCUUAGCGAAAGCGUUAAGUAAUCCACCUGGGGAGUACGCCCGCAAGGGUGAAACUCAAAGGAAUUGACGGGGGCCCCGCACAAGCGGUGGAGCAUGUGGUUUAAUUCGAUGAUACGCGAGGAACCUUACCUAGGCUAGAAUGCGCGUGACCGAUCCAGAGAUGGAUCUUUCCUUCGGGACACAAAGCAAGGUGCUGCAUGGCCGUCGU
rnacentral:rRNA from 1 species